CACAUUUUCGCGUCUUCACAAGUGGCGAGCCCAUCGUGUGUUGGUGGCGUGUGUGUGUGUGUGUGUGGUGUGUCUCGUACACCCCCAUCACAAACACACACGCACAAACACGUCUGCGCACACCUACGUGUGUGCAGAA
rnacentral:rRNA from 1 species